rnacentral:rRNA from 1 species
GAUGAACGCUGGCGGCGUGCUUAACACAUGCAAGUCGAACGGGAUCCAAGGGGUGCUUGCACUUUUUGGUGAGAGUGGCGAACGGGUGAGUAACACGGGAGUAACCUGUCCUUUUCUUUGGGAUAAGCAUUCGAAAGGGUGUUUAAUACCUUAUGUUCUGUCUGCCUCGCAUGGGGUGGGUGGGAAAGGCUUUGGCCGGAUUUGGGUGGGCUCGCGGUCUAUCAGCUUGUUGGUGGGGUGAUGGCUUACCAAGGCUUUGACGGGUAGCCGGCCUGAGAGGGUGGUCGGUCACAUUGGGACUGAGAUACGGCCCAGACUCCUGCGGGAGGCAGCAGUGGGGGAUAUUGCACAAUGGGCGAAAGCCUGAUGCAGCGACGCCGCGUGGGGGAUGAAGGCCUUCGGGUUGUAAACUUCUUUUGCUCUGAACAAGGCAUGCCAGUGGGUGUGUUGAGUGUAGGGGUUGAUUAGCGCCGGCUAACUACGUG